UCAACCAGUGCUCCUGCUACAGACACUGCCAGCCAUAUCAUAGCACAAAAUAAAAACAUUCCCGUGUUUUUUAUAUGAUUGAAACGGAGAAAUAGAUCUCAAACGCAUUUUUAAUACCUAUUUUCCGUUAAGUUAUAUUGUCAGCGACCAAAAUGUCCAUUUUAUUGCAUUCUGGGAAAACGCAGUGGGCGUCCGCUUUGAAAUUAUCCUGUGUUGCAUUGGUGAUAUUUUUGGCUUGUCCAGUGACUUCCAUGGAUGUGCUGGUGCCACAACAGAUCAACGCUCUCAAUGGCACUAAUGUCAGAAUCCCUUGUGCGUUCACCUCAUGCUACAAGCUGGACCCCAGCAAGUUUGCCAUGAACUGGACCUAUCAGGAGACACUCAACAGCACAGAGGAGAUGUUCAUGACUUAUAAGAACAGGAUAACUCCCCUGAAGUCAACCCGAUUUGGAGAUCGGGUCGUGUUUUCUGGAAACCUGGAAAAGAACGACCUCAGCAUCACUAUCUCAGAUGUGCAGUUGACAGAUGAUGGAAUCUACAAUUGCUAUGUGCGCAACCCUCCAGAUCGCAUUCAGGGUCACGGCACCAUCCAGUUCAACGUCCUGACUGAAUUGCCACCACCAAGGGAUUCGACCAUUGCUGUCGCCAUCGGGGCAUCUGUGGGGGGCAUUCUUGCUUUGCUCAUUCUGUCCAUGGUAGUGGUGAAGUGUAUUCGUAGACAUAAGAACCAGGAGCUGAUCUCAGACGAGCAGAAGAUGGAGGAAGAGGGCAAAGUCGAUGGAGAAGGAGGAACAGAAGAAGCAACAAAACAGCCCUAACACGCCAUCUUAGCCCUGGAGGCCUAACCGAUGGUGGAGCUCAAUCCUUCAUGUUCUGAAAUUUAUGCCUCCUACCUGAAGAUAUGUAAAACUCGUUUGACUCUUCGUCCUGUAAUGGUCUCAUUCAACAUUCCCCAGUUUUAUCGUGUAGCGACCAAACAUGUCAUGUUAGGAAGAUCCCUGCCACUGUGCCAUGAUGUCCAGUCACUGGUGAGAAAUCACAAAGGGUUUUAUACUGCCUCUUCCACUCAUUAUGGCAGGUUAAGGUGAUAACAGCAUCCUACAGAACUGUUUAUUUGGUCCACCCUUUUUUCGAAGUCAGUAAUGUCUUUUUUCUUCAACUACUGCCACUAUUAGCACUAUUAAUAUUAGCCAUCCAAUAUUUCUGCUAAGAAUUUUCUAAAGGUGAGAGUUUUAAUUGAUACAAAACUGCCAAAGUGUUUUUACCCUUACAGUGUUUAUACGUUUUGACAGUUUCUUGAGAAAUCACUGCCCUCAACGUCCUCUUUAAGUGGAUGCAGAAACAUGAUGUGUGUGUGUUUGUGUGUGCCUUCUCUUUGUGCCAGUUUGCUCCAAUUGGGUCUAAGGUUUGUGCUGUUCUUACAAUCCAGUUUGUAGAAGAGCAGAAUAUUUAGCAGUGAUACCUUGAACCUACCCAAAUGGCAGGACCAUGACUAUCCAUUAGUGUUAAAAAUAUAUAAUUUGCUAGUUUAUAGUACACCUCCAAAACAUGUACAAUCAUUGCAUGACAAUUUUCUUAUACAUUUUACACACAAAUUGCACAAAACAAAUCAUCACUUUGCACAAGCAUCUGGCACAUUCCAUGAAUAGGUUAUAUAUUGGUGUCCCAUGACUUUUUAAAAGCAUUUAGGCCCUGACACAAAAAGCCGAUGGUCGGCCAUCGGCCAACGUCGGGCGGCCCAGUUUUUGCAGUGUGUUCCACACCAUCUGCACUAGUUGGACUUUGUCGGGGGGAUUUUGGCCGAUUGAGCAUGUUAAAUCAGUGUCCGUCAGCUUCUGCGCCAUUGGUGAGAGAGAGAACUCUGAUUGGCUGUUCAGUUUAGCGAACGAGAAUAAAAACAAAAGAUGGCUGUUCUAAUUUAACGUCACCAUUCCAAUGCACAAAUAUUUUCAUAACAACAUGCGCCACCUGGAAUGAAGAGAGCGAUCAGCGUGAUUGAUAUUUAAAAUGGUAUUCUAUAUCUGCAGCCCUAGUUUCGGUUUCCCUUUUUGGAUGACGAAUAUAGACUAUUGAUACCUGUUGAUAUACACGGCCAUUUUCUUACACGCUGACGCAGAACGCAUGUGCUAGUUGACAGUCGCCUGUAGCCUUUGUGGUGUGUUCAAGCCCAGCCUUUUUUGCCGAAAUGCAGCCGAUGUGAGGCGAUAACACAGUUGCCUUUCGUCGUUGCUAUUUUUUUUUUUCACAUCUGCUUGGUGGGUCACAGCCUUUAGAGGCACAAAUCCCAUAUUAUUUUUGUUAUGAGAUACACUGUAUAAACCUGAAUAAGUUGGCAAAACUUAUAAAAAGUUUUAAUUUUAUUGAACUAAUUUGUUUAAUACAAGAUUACCCUACUCAAAACAGUUAGUUAUUUUGAGCAUUAUGGUUUACAGUGUAUUAGAAACAGAAAACGAACUAAAAUGGUAAUUUUAGCCUGCUCCACUGCAAAGGACUUAACCUUAAAAUCAUAGAAGAGUGUCGUAAUUUUAAAAUAUGGACAUUGAAGAUUUUAAUAUUCUGCUCAUAGUAAAAAUUUGUCUUAAUUAAAUUAAUUCACUUAUUUUCCCCAUUACAAAAAAGUAAGAUUCUUUGUGAGGCCCAAAAAGAAGUUAAAUUGGACCCUUUCUACUAAAAUUAUGAUUAGAAUAAAAAAAUUAAACAAAUAUGCAGCAACAGCUAAAUCUAUGGCAAAUUUGCCAUAAAAAUACAUUUUUGGAAAUUCAUUCACUUUUUUACCCUAUUUAUGGAAAAUGCCGUUUACAAAACACUGCUUUCACACACAAACGUCAUCAUUUAUCACGAUACUUGUAUUUAUUGAUAAAAACCAAAAACAAAUUCGAUUGUUGAUAUUAUUGUGUUUGACAUGUAUGUUGUGGUGUGUUAUUUGGAAUGUGUGAAAUAAUUUUACAUGAUUAUCUUCUUGAACAUAGUUCAAGUACAAUUUUUCUCAGUACUGAAUUUAUGAACACUUCAUUUUUAACCUGAUAAUCAAAUUUCACAGCUAAUUUUAUAAUCUGAAAGAGGAAUUGAAAUUGAGAAUUAAGCUUGUUCAAGAGUGCAAGUGAAACAUACUGGAUUAAGACUGAAUGUGUCAAAUAUAAAAGAAUAUUAAACCUUUCAUGGAAAGAUAAAAUUGUAUAUGACAUAUCACUGAAUUGUAUAUGACAUAAGUCACUGAACCGUUU